rnacentral:rRNA from 1 species
CCUACGGGUGGCAGCAGUGAGGAAUAUUGCUCAAUUGGCGCGAGCCUGAACCAGCCAAGUAGCGUGAAUGAUGACUGCCCUACGGGUUGUAAACUUCUUUUAUAAAGGAAUAAAGUUAGGCACGUGUGCCUUUUUGUAUGUACUUUAUGAAUAAGGAUCGGCUAACUCCGUGCCAGCAGCAGCGGUAAUACGGAGGAUCCGAGCGUUACCCGGAUUUGUUGGGUUUAAAGGGAGCGUAGAUGGGUUGUUAAGUCAGUUGUGAAAGUUUGCGGCUCAACCGUAAAAUUGCAAUUGAUACUGGCAGGCUGGAGUACAGUUGAGGUAGGCAGAAUUCGUUGUGUAGCGGUGAAAUGCUUAGAUAUCACGAAGAACUCCGAUUGCGAAGGCAGCUUACUAAACUGCGACUGACAUUGAUGCUCGAAAGUGUGGGUAUCAAACAGGAUUAGAUACCCUGGUAGUC